GUGGCAAACAAUACAAACUAUUGUAUGCUUAUUGUAAAAUGUUCACGGUUGUAAAAGAUCUUUAUUGUACGUACAUUAAAAUCACAAUAUAUUUAAAUGUUUCCGAUAUAUUCUAUUAUAUUUUUAUUGUUCGCUUAUGUUUAGUAUUGCUCAUCUAAAAACUAAACAAUUUUUAAAAGUAUUCGGUUUGGAUGAUCUGGAAAUCCGUCUAAUGUUAUUGAAUUAAUAUAAUUUUGGAAUAUUUCAUGGAUUUAUUAUAUUGAUGAAAUAACAAUUGAAAACAAUAAAAUUACAAUAGCUUUGUUUGUUAAAUAAAUAAAAAUGUUAUACCGGUUCUCAAGUAUAUAUUUUCAUAUUGCAGGUCUUGUUGCAGGUCUAGAAAUGUUUUGCAAUAAAAAUUUGAUUUCAAAAAAAUGAAAGGGAACAAAAACUUUUGCUUAUAAUUUACUCGGAGAAUGGCUGGAUUCAUUUGACCGUGUACAGUUUUGUUUAUAAUUAGUGAAGAGAUGAAAAUAAUGAAACUGUAUGGUGCAGAAAGUGUUUUUUCAUUGCAGUUUCUGCUGCUGGGAAAGCGGUAGAUCACUAUGGCUUCUGUACCGUGAUUAGUCACUCUUUUUCGCAUCGGUCACUAUUUUCGGUAUUUUCGGUUAUCAUUUCGGUGGCUGCAUUCCGUAUCGGUGACGUUCGACGUUUGAUAGUUCAUCAAAUAGUAGCGCUGUUAUUUGGUCAAUUUGGUCACCUGUCAGCUGCGCUACUGUUUUAGCAGCGCGUUUAGUAGCGACCGGUAAAGUGUCAAGUAAUGAUACUGCGCUGACAAACGGCUUAUACUCACCACCGGUAAUCGUAAUCUUAUACUACAAAAGUUCAAUGUACAUAAUGAACGCAGUGGUUCAUCCCGAACAAAAAAUAAAUGAAAAUUUUAUCAUCAUAGUACCUGAUGACAUGCCUGGUAACAUGUAUCCUUGUUCCUUUACAGAAAUGAAGCUUAUGAUAAAUAAAAUACUGCUGCUUGCUGGUCACUGAUUGAAGAUCGUUCAGUGGCUACCAUUGGCCAAUCCCACCAACGGGAUAUAAUAAGAACUGAUGCAGGUUUAUAUCUAUUCGGAACAAAGUUAGUACACUUUUUAAACCGAUGUUGGAUUUUUCUCCAGAUACAGGCAACCCACUUAACUUUGGAAGUAGUGCGCUGGAUUCGUCUAAAGAUAUGCUAAACAACCGGAGGAAAAUAAAAUGAU